AACUCGGCUGCAUGAAGCUGGAAUCGCUAGUAAUCGCGGAUCAGAAUGCCGCGGUGAAUACGUUCCCGGGUCUUGUACACACCGCCCGUCACACCAUGGGAGUAGGUAAUGCCCGAAGUCGGUGACCUAACCGGAAGGAAGGAGCCGCCGAAGGCAGGACUUAUAACUGGGUGAAGUCGUAACAAGGUAUC
rnacentral:rRNA from 1 species